UACGAGGGGGGCAAGCGUUGUUCGGAAUUAUUGGGCGUAAAGGGUGCGUAGGCGGUCUGAUAAGUCAUCUGUGAAAUCUAUGGGCUCAACCCAUAGUCUGCAGGCGAAACUGUCGGGCUUGAGUAUGGGAGAGGUGAGUGGAAUUUCCGGUGUAGCGGUGAAAUGCGUAGAUAUCGGAAGGAACACCUGUGGCGAAAGCGGCUCACUGGACCAUUACUGACGCUGAGACGCGAAAGCCAGGGGAGCGAACGGG
rnacentral:rRNA from 1 species